rnacentral:rRNA from 1 species
GCCGCGUGCAUUAGCUAGUUGGUAAGGUAAACGGCUUACCAAGGCGAUGAUGCAUAGCCGAGUUGAGAGACUGAUCGGCCACAUUGGGACUGAGACACGGCCCAAACUCCUACGGGAGGCAGCAGUAGGGAAUUUUCCACAAUGGACGCAAGUCUGAUGGAGCAACGCCGCGUGAGUGAAGAAGGUUUUCGGUAUCGUAAAGCUCUGUUGUUGGUGAAGAAGGAUAGAGGUAGUAACUGGCCUUUAUUUGACGGUAAUCAACCAGAAAGUCACGGCUAACUACGUGCCAGCAGCCGCGGUAAAU